AACCAGCACCUCAAGUGGUCAGGAUGAUUAUUGGGCCUAAAGCAUCCGUAGCCGGCUCUGUAAGUUUUCGGUUAAAUCUGUACGCUCAACGUACAGGCUGCCGGGAAUACUGCAGAGCUAGGGAGUGGGAGAGGUAGACGGUACUCGGUAGGAAGGGGUAAAAUCCUUUGAUCUAUCGAUGACCACCUGUGGCGAAGGCGGUCUACCAGAACACGUCCGACGGUGAGGGAUGAAAGCUGGGGGAGCAAACCGGAUUAGAUACCCGGGUAGUCCCAGCUGUAAACUAUGCAAACUCAGUGAUGCAUUGGCUUGUGGCCAAUGCAGUGCUGCAGGGAAGCCGUUAAGUUUGCCGCCUGGGAAGUACGUACGCAAGUAUGAAACUUAA
rnacentral:rRNA from 1 species